rnacentral:rRNA from 1 species
CUUAAAUGAAUUGACGGGGCCGCACAAGCGGUGGAGCAUGUGGUUUAAUUCGAAGCAACGCGAAGAACCUUACCAGGUCUUGACAUCCCCUGACAACCCAAGAGAUUGGGCGUUCCCCUUCGGGGGACAGGGUGACAGGUGGUGCAUGGUUGUCGUCAGCUCGUGUCGUGAGAUGUUGGGUUAAGUCCCGCAACGAGCGCAACCCUCGCCUCUAGUUGCCAGCAUUCGGUUGGGCACUCUAGAGGGACUGCCGGCGACAAGUCGGAGGAAGGUGGGAUGACGUCAAAUCAUCAUGCCCCUUAUGACCUGGGCUACACACGUGCUACAAUGGGCGGUACAAAGGGCUGCGAACCCGCGAGGGGGAGCGAAUCCCAAAAAGCCGCUCUCAGUUCGGAUUGCAGGCUGCAACUCGCCUGCAUGAAGCCGGAAUCGCUAGUAAUCGCGGAUCAGCAUGCCCGCGGUUCCGAAUACGUUCCGGCCUU